AGAAAUAUCACGGAUUAUACAAACUAGAGGGAAAGAAAAGAAACCAAGUUUAAUAAGGACAAAAUAUAUCAUAGAGGUGCCUCGUCCCCCGACAAGGAGCACAGCUAUGGGGGAGGCCUUUUCGACAUGGUGAAGGGAGGUGCGGGGAGGCUUUUCAGUAACCUAAAGGACAACUUGAAAGAUACCCUGAAGGACACCUCUUCCUGAGUGAUACAGUCUGUAUCCAGCUACACGAAGGGAGAUUUAGACUUCACUUACGUUACUUCCAGAAUUA